GACGAACGCUGGCGGCGUGCUUAACACAUGCAAGUCGAACGGAAAGGCCCUGCUUUUGUGGGGUGCUCGAGUGGCGAACGGGUGAGUAACACGUGAGUAACCUGCCCUUGACUUUGGGAUAACUUCAGGAAACUGGGGCUAAUACCGGAUAGGAGCUCCUGCUGCAUGGUGGGGGUUGGAAAGUUUCGGCGGUUGGGGAUGGACUCGCGGCUUAUCAGCUUGUUGGUGGGGUAGUGGCUUACCAAGGCUUUGACGGGUAGCCGGCCUGAGAGGGUGACCGGCAACAUUGGGACUGAGAUACGGCCCAGACUCCUACGGGAGGCAGCAGUGGGGAAUAUUGCACAAUGGGCGGAAGCCUGAUGCAGCAACGCCGCGUGCGGGAUGACGGCCUUCGGGUUGUAAACCGCUUUCGCCUGUGACGAAGCGUGAGUGACGGUAAUGGGUAAAGAAGCACCGGCUAACUAAGUG
rnacentral:rRNA from 1 species